CUCCGCGUGUGAAGACGUGUCGUCGAGGACUCCGCGAUUAAUUAGGUUCCUGAUCGAAAAUCAAAGACGACGGAAGCGUCAUCGACUCCAUGAUGGAUUAUCCCUGAUUCAAAGUCGGAGGAAGCGUCAUCGACGCCAUGAUGGUGUCUCCAAUUCGAACCUGAAGUCUGGGAAAACUGGUACCUUGUUCAAAGAGAAAGGAGACUCUGACCUCGCCUUUCAAUAACAAGGGACGAUCGGUUGUCGUAAUUCCAGGAAAAACAGUAUUUCCGUAAUAACACUUGAACAGAAUGAAAAACUGUUAGGAAAGCACGAUCGUGCUUGUUUGUUUACGUCUCUCUCUCUCCCUCCAUCCCACCUUUUCUUUCAGAGAUUUUAGUGACUGCGUGGAAUGCGGUCGGUAGAGUCAGUGUUUGCUGCGUAGAAGUUUAUUUGCUUCGAUGUACAAUGACAUCGAUUAAAUUUUCAUUUACAUUUUAGGCAUACGCGAGAUAGUGUCAGUGUUUAUUCCGUAUUAUAAAUUUUUCCCAGUGCAUCGCGGCUCUUUCAAUUUUAUAAUCGCGAAAUAAAGUCACGGUUGUUCGCCGCCUAGAAUCAUCGGUCGCGUUAGUAGAUUCUUAAUUUUUUUUUUUUUUUUUUAUUUAACGAAUACUGCUUGAUCGGUAUUAAAGUCAGUGCAUCACUGAAGAGGAGUAUCGGGCGAUGCUCAACAAAUUGGAAACGUAGGUAUCUACGAAUACGUACUUUUCUUUCAAAAUUUGUAUCGCUAAAAUUGUAACUGCAGAAAUUGAUCAUUGUUUUGUGUUCUUUUACAGAUUCUUCGUACCUCAUCCCAGCGUUCCUGAGCCAAGCAGAAUCAACCACUACUACGAUGUGUAUGCAGAGCUACUACGAUGUCUAUCAACAAGGCACAUAAAGAUUUCCAGACCGCGAUCGGUGAGUCGUAUGCUAUUUUGUUCCUCUGGUCCCCAAUCAUGUCGUAGGACGAAAGGUCCGAAUCGACACGGAUGACUAGUUGUAUACGUGGUCUUUGGCGAGUACAGUGACCGCGGGUAUGCAUUGCACAGCAUACCUGCGAGUAGUAACAUUUCUUGUAAUAUUUAUUAGAGUAGGCUAGGGUCUUCUUGUACGCCGCGUGUUUCAUUAAUAAACUGGAGUUUCAUAAUGUUAUACAUAUUUCUUGACGCGAAUAUGAAUGGUCAGAAGUUUAUUGAUAUUUAUCAAGUAAAGAUCUAUAGAGACACUUUUAGUUGAAAAGAUAUUUUGUAAAUGUUAGUACAUUCGUGAGAUACAAUAAUAUUUAUCGUAGAAAAUCAAUUCUACAAUGUUUUUGUUUGGUUAUCACGUAGUAUGUACAGCUUUGCAACUUGCAAGCUAUAAAAUAUAAAAAUAUAUCAUCAAAUAUAAUUUUGAUAAUAGUUCAAGUACACAUACUUUGCGUUGAAAUUUUUCCUAUAUGUGCAAGAAGGACGCUUCG